AUUGAACGCUGGCGGAAUGCUUUACACAUGCGAGUCGGACGGCAGCAUAGGUGCUUGCACCUGAUGGCGAGUGGCGAACGGGUGAGUAAUACAUCGGAACGUGCCCGGUCGUGGGGGAUAACGUAGCGAAAGUUACGCUAAUACCGCAUACGAUCUAAGGAUGAAAGCGGGGGACCGUAAGGCCUCGCGCGAUUGGAGCGGCCGAUGUCAGAGUAGGUAGUUGGUGAGGUAAAGGCUCACCAAGCCGACGAUCUGUAGCUGGUCUGAGAGGACGACCAGCCACACUGGGACUGAGACACGGCCCAGACUCCUACGGGAGGCAGCAGUGGGGAAUUUUGGACAAUGGACGCAAGUCUGAUCCAGCCAUUCCGCGUGCAGGACGAAGGCCUUCGGGUUGUAAACUGCUUUUGUACGGAACGAAAGAGCUCUUACUAAUACUAGGAGUCCAUGACGGUACCGUAAGAAUAAGCACCGGCUAACUACGUGCCAGCCGCCGCCGUAA
rnacentral:rRNA from 1 species